CCAAGCAAUAUAGCUCUACGGCAAAUUACUGAAUGGUUGCCAAGCAACACAACAACACAGUGGAAAUAUUAACGGUAUACUAUGCAGGUUUUUUGCAGCCCUUCUAGACUCUGUGUUUGUCUCCUCCGUCCUCAACCCCACCCACACCUCCAUUGAUGACACACCCUUGAGCGCUACAAGCAAACUGUGAAGCAUGAAGAGCCACCCACCGGCACCAUGGCAUCGGAGUGAUCGGAGCUGUUGAUGUGAAACCCACGGAUGAGCUGGGAAGUGGACACCACGGCGAAGGAGUCAUAUUGCUCGCAGCGGGACCCAUCGUCAGAUGGCACAAAGCCUGUGGUGCACGCGCACGCUUUCUGUCCGCCAGGCUUGGGCAGGCACAGGUGGGGGCAGCCCCCAUUGUUGGUGCUGCAGGCAUUGGUGGUCCCUGCAGAGUCUGCGUAGAGAUAGAACAGAACACCCUCUGUCUACCCCUGACCUUCAAAACCAGAGCCGGCCACUGGUAUAAACACUCUAUGCAAUCGUUUAGGGCCACAAUCAUCCCAGGGCCAUGCAAUUCAGCUGUUAUGGGGUCGGUAUGAUUUAUGUUGGAGCACUUUGGGGCCACAAGAGCAUUCUUGUUUAGGGCCACCAAAACCCUAGGGUCUGCUUUCUUCAAAACAAGCAUGCUUUACAAUCAAAACCCUCACAUUAUAUCCUACUUAAACAGCAACAAAAAUGGAUAUUAAUUGCCAUUAUGAGAGUUUGUUCAUGAGGUAAAAAUUGUUAUAUUACUCUCUGCAGUUGUAUGGAAUUGGGGCUAAGGUUGAAUAAAUUAACGAAUGGGUAGGUAGUGACUGAUUCAUGGUGUACUUUACAUCCUCCUGCACUGUAGUUUUAUCAGUGCGAGCAACGGAGUGACUGCAUGGGCAGUUGGGAGUGCCAGGGGCUACACUCACUGUCUCGGGCGUGGACCUUGAGGGCCCCGACCCCGGUCAAACCGCUCCUCAUCACCACCAUGUUGGCCCCGUUUGCUUUGUCUACCCUUUCAAUGACCUCGUAGUCCUGGUCGGUGUAGUAGAGGUAGUUCUGGUGAACGGUGAUUCCCCAGGGGUGCGACAGGCCACUCACAAUGGUCAUGCGGCUGACCCCAUCCAUUGUCCCGCACUCAAUCUGUCAGAAAAAAAUGUUUUCUUGCAACCUCCUCCACACAUUACACUAUAAUUCAGAUUUACAACAUGUAUUACUGAAUUUUAUCAACAAUAAAAUGCUAACUGUAAUGGUGUAUCUAGCAUUUCUAUAUUUAAACACAUAUGUUUUUUUAUAUUUAUAUAUUUAUAUUUACCUGCAGUUUAAAAUGAAUUGUCAAUUUUAUUUCAUUUACCACUGGUUUUACAUUUACUAGUUAUACAAUUAUUCAUCUGUGGUUUUCCAGGAAAACAUACCUGGAUUGUGGCUGUCAGAGGGGUCAGCUAAACAUUACUCUAUGCUUUAGGCUAUGCUGUACUCUGCUUUUGACAAUGGUUUCCUAUUCACCUGGUGUGGUGAAAACCUACCACUCCGGAGCUGGUGACACUCCAGUACAGCUUGCUCUCAGCAAUGUCAGCUGUGAUGUACUCAACGCGGCCGAGGUUGCCGGUGUACAGGACCUUCAAAUUACUCCCAUCCAUGUCUGCACUGGCCACCUUGGGUGGGACCCCAGCAUCUGUUCCCCUGUCUGUCCAGAACAACUUUCUGUAAUAUAAAUGGUUGGCACCAUCAUCAUUGUCAAGAACCCUUGCACAUUAACAGAAAGCUGUAUCUAGUCCAAGUGCAUGAAUAAAGAGUUGGAGUGCAUUUUUUUACCCUCUGGCUGGAUCAAGAGCUAUUCCAAUGGGCUCCCCUACCCCUUCCGGUUUCCCAUUGUUUGUGAUGAGGGUCUUCCUGUAAUGCUGACUCCCAUCUACUCGGAUGACCUAUACAAGAUGUUAUCUAUUAAUUUAUGUACAGUACAAUGACUGGGGAAAAUACUGUUCUACAGCAAUAACAACUACUGUCAUUUGAGCAUAUAAUUAAGAUUUAUUUUCACUAAAUGCUGCGGUAUAAUCAAUACCAUCACUUUGCACAAAGAAGCGUCAUUUUUACCUCAAUGGCCUGAUUGGUGGGAUUUGUGUAAUACAUUAUUCUGGUUAUCCAAUCAAAGGCCAACCCAUAGGGUGAGCCAAUAAUAGCUGUUGGAGCAAACUGAGUUCGAUUGCUUCCAUCAGUCUUCACUCUGAAAAUAGACCCCUGUUGAGAAGUUGAGAAGAAAACAUCAGCAGCAAUCACACAUCGGUGAUUAAACAUUCCUUCUGCAGUAUAUUGGCAAUACUGUCUGUCUGGAGGGAUCCAUUUUUGGGUCAAAUAUGACAGCAUUUAUCAUUAAUUUUGGGAUUUGUUUCAUAUUCUUAUAUUUACAGUAAGUAACAGCCAUCGACCAAAGUUACCUAUUAUGAAAAAUGUACAAUUGUACUGAUAACAUAAUACAGUACUUUGGAAUGCCAAAGGAGUUUCUGACUGCAAUAUAAUUAUUUAUUUGGUCCCGUUCAAGGUUAGAAAUAAGAAUUCCAGAGUUCUAUGCUCAGUGUCAUUUCUACAAAGUGAAUUGGAACUGUACUAAAGGCAUCUUCUGCAGUCUGCACUCUAAAUCUGUCUGUCACUCACAGAGCCCUGGACCCAGUAGACAAACUGCUCCCGGUCAUCAAAAUCAAUGUCGUGGCCCUGGCUGAUGUCCGACACCGGGGUCAUUGCAUUGGUGGAGGUGUCAUUGGGGUCAAGCGGGAUGCCCAAGAUCGUCGUGCCCCUGACAACCAUCAGGAAGGGGCUAUCAUCUGAAGUAAAUAAACAGCCGCGGUUAACGUCUUCAAUCAGACAGGCGGGUGAUAUCUGAAUCGACAAAGGCAUUUAUGCCAGGUCCAACCUUUGGUGCACGUGGAUCUGUCGCUGUUCAGAUGCCAGCCUGAUUGACAGGCACAGGAGAAGUACACUGGCCUCCUUCCAGACAGCAGGCACAGUUGACUGCAUGGGCUGUUCAGGCAAGGGUUCACCGCUGGUUGAAUGAAAACCACAUUAUUUGUUCUUUGAGAGGCUAACGAGUUAAUGAAAAGCAAAAUUCACUUCAUGACUCACUAGUUUCCAAGCCUUCUAAGAGAGCCAGUAUCCAGUAUGUUUUAAACCAAUAACAGAGGUUGCUUAUGGUACUUAUAAAAUGCAUACAGCUUUGUACACUCCUGCUACAUGUGUGUCAUAAUGCAUUUACUGUAGUCCUUACAAGGAGGUUGUUUGACUGGGUGACUCAUCACAAUGCCCAUGGGCUGGUAGAUAUCAGUCAGGAGGGUGGUCACAUUGCCUCCAUGCAAUUUGUUAGCCCGGAUGACUCGACUGGAGUACCGCUCUGUCCAGUACACAUAGUCCUCAAAGAUGGUCAUGCCAUGAGGGUGCUGCAGCAACUGCACAGAAAGCCACCAUGGGGUCAAAGGUUAAAAUCAAAUUCUCUUGAUAGCAAUCUCUUGAGUCUGGAAUAUGCUGAAUUACACGUUGUCCACAGACUCACCAGAUCACUGGCAAAGACCUGGAAUCGAUUGUUGCCAUCGUAGUCACAAUAGUCAAUGUAGUCCAGAUAGGCAUCUGCAAAGUAGAGCCGGCGGGUGGGAUAGUCGAUGGUCAGCCCGUUGGGCCAGUACAGCUUUUUUGUCACUAUGGCACGCCGGAAUGUGCCAUCCAUGCUGGCCUUCUCAAUUCUUGGAUUCUGACCCCAGUCCGUCCAGAACAUCAAAUUGGUGCUACCACAUGAUAAAUAAAAGAACCCAUUAAUUUCACAUUUUUCCAAUACUUAUUUCAUCUAAGUUCAAAGAUUUUGUCAAACAGAUGCAUGGAGAUAAAAUCAACACUUGAGCAAAUACCUGCACAUCUACAAUUUGUAUUUGAACAUCUACAAUUUGUAUUUUAACUAACUGAGAACUAUUUAAACCAUGGAAAAUGCUUGUGGUAAUGCUACUGAAUGCAAAUGUGCAAAAAGCAUAUUUUUAUUCUUUUAGAACAUGACGCAGGCUUACAAGUCACGUGGGUCCAGAGCAAGCCCACGAGGGCUGGUGAUGUUCUUGGUCAGGAGUAUCUUCCGGAACCGGCCAUCCAGAGUGGCCACCUCAAUGUUCUCCAUCACAGAGUCAGUCCAGUAGAGGUUCCGGCCCACCCAGUCCACAGCCAGGGUCUCGGGUACUGUCAGUCCAGUGGAGAACACCUGAACAUAAACACAGGGAGGGCGCACUCAUCACUUAUGACAACUACAUGCAAUUGCAACACAAAUCUGUUUUUUUACAAGACACAGUCAACUCUGUGUCGUUUUGGUGUGAACUUCUGCUUUCACAUUGCAAAUUUUAAGACCAAAUGAAAAUAUUUGAAAUGUUACGUUGCGUUCACUUAGCAGACUCUUAUUCCGAAUGUUCAGGAUUUCUUGGCCUGACAUACCUUAUAUACCUUAUAUAUUAGUCUUGAAAAUCUUGAAAGGACACUUAAUUGUCUCAUGUUCUUUUAUUCAGAAUAGUCAUACACAAGGCCUUAUAGGUUUCAGAUUGCAGCCUGUAUAUCAGAAUGCACCACACCUCUCGUCUAUCUGUGCCAUUCUGCCAGGCACUCCAGAUCUUCUCUUGGCCUGCGUCAGCCCAGUAGAUGCGAUUGGUCACCCUGUCGAAGUCCACGGUGACAAUGUUGGAGCCGCUGACCACAGGUCUGAUGACGGUGGGCCUCUGCCUGAUGUUGUUGGAGAUGAUCUGACUGCGCUUGGUGAUCAGAAGUAUGGCAUCCUGGGGGCCUGCAACCACAUUAUUCUCAUGUAGUGUGGCCACCUCUGUCACUGCAGACAUCGCAGGCUGGCUUACCGUACACCUAAUUUUUUGUGAGAGAUGACCAAAAACUAAUCGGGGAACAUGCUUAUUUUUCCACCACUAUUGGUACUUGAGUAGUAUCAAGAUAUUUAGGACUAUUUUCUUGAGUUAGAUAAACAGCAAAAUGCAAAACAAUUUUCUAUGAUAAAACUCAUAAAUUUGUCAUCAAAUUUGUUGUGCUGGAAGCUCCUUACCUUGGCUGUACUUAGCGUGUUAUUGUAUGUACGUGUUAUUGCAUCAACUUGCUAUUGUGUUUGUCUCAAACGAAUAGGUGAAUGAGUACCGGAGGCCUUGCAGACACGGCCGUUGGGCUCGAGCUCGUAGCCGUCCUCGCAGUAGCAGCGGAAGGAGCCGCGCUCAUUGAAGCACGUCUGGCUGCACAUGCCCGGUAUCAGGCACUCGUCGAUGUCGUCGCAGGUCUUGGAGUCGUUGAGAAGCUGGAAGCCUGGCUCGCAGGUGCACUGGGCCCCAAACGGCCCCUGAACGCAGCCCCCGCUGCAGCCCCCGUUGUUCACGGCGCAGUCGUCCUCGCCUGCAGAAAGAAAGACCGUGUGGAACAAAUCUCCCCAAACAUCCCCCUUCGCCUUAUUAAAAGCAAGGCAACGAGCUGUGGAAGCAGGAGCUUUGAGCUGAUUAGAUUCUGUGCCCUUGAUUCAAAAGGGAGCAUUUCUGAGGAUAGACAAGCAGGAAAACAGUAUUUUCAAUGUUGACUGAGGGCUCAAAGGUUCUGCAGCAGCUAUUGGCUUACAUCAAAUAGCAUGGCUUUUUUCCUUCUUUUUUUUCAAAAGGAAAGCAAACAGUCCUCCUUACAUAUAUUUUUCUUUAUUCAAAAAGGUAGAAAUUGAUUCACCGAGGGUACAGAUGAACAGAAGGGACCACAGCCCAGAGGAUGCUGUGUCAGGGGAUGUAACCCCGCUCACGUCGGGGGUCUUGUGCACGGCUCGAGAGUCAGCGCACGUCUCGUCACGUAUUGCAUUUCUGAACACGAGAAAAAGCCCGGAGGUCAUACUCACUGCAGAGGGGCGACUCGUCGGCCCCGUCCGGACAGUCCCGCUCCCCGUCACACACUCGAUCCAGCCCGAUGCACACCUGGUCGGUGGGGCAGAGCCACUGGCCGGCGGGGCAGCUGAAGGGAGGCGUGGGACAGCCUCUCUCGUCGCUCAUGUCCUGGCAGUCGUUCUCUCCAUCGCACACCCAGGACUCGUGUACGCACCUCUUGUUGUCGCACUGGAAGUAGCUGGGGCGACAGGUGAUUGGCGGGCAGCCGUUGUGCUCGUCUGAGCCGUCCUGGCAGUCCGCGUGCCCGUCGCACUCCCACGCGCCCGGCAGGCAGAACCCGUCCACCUGGCACUGGAACUCGUCGUCGUGACACAGACCUGGGCCACGUGUGGCUGCAAGACCACGCGGGUGUCAGCGUCUCAAACGGAUUGAGGGACAUUCUCAGUUUUGCACACACAUAGAAUUUGUGAACAUGCGCUGUACGGUGAAUAGUAGUGCAGUACAACUGCGUGGAUGAUGUCAUUCUCAGUACUCAGGAGGACUGAUCUUGCAUCCAGCAGUAAUGUUUCAUAUUAAAAGCUCAAUCAGUGCUUUGUAUGGGAUGCAAAAAUUAUUUAAUUGACAAAUAUUAAACAAUGUGAUGUACAAAU